rnacentral:sRNA from 1 species
GGCGAGCGGCGCCGAGUACACUCUGGGCUACCUUCGGGGCGCAGCUACAAAGAUGGUUUCCCUUAGGAUGGCAACCUAUCCUUACUUUGUAGUGGGAUCGCAGAGACGGGGGCUCGCCGCCAA